UUUAUUGGAGCUUUAGAACUUCGAUAACAAGGUCCCGUAUUUACUCCAGUGAACAGGUAGAACAAAACAGCCAGAAUGAUCAAACAGAAGCAGUACGAUUGGAAAGACAGCAACCUCGCCUUAUUCGGAUCCGACACGGAAAGACAGGUCAAAAAGGAGUCAGCAGAACAGGAGAAGGCAUGGAAAAAGGCGGGAAAGAAAUGUGGGCUUCAAAUAUGGCGGAUUGUG